rnacentral:lncRNA from 1 species
CCUUCCACCAUGGGAGGACACAGCGUUUGUCUCUUCUGCCAUGUGAAGGCUGAGCAACAAGGUGCUAUCUUGAAAGCACAAACUGGGUCCUCAGGAUAUAGUAAAUAUUUUGAGGUCUUCCAGCCCCUAAAACUGGCAAUGAGGGCUUCCAUUCUGGCUCUUCACCAUGAUAACCUUGGGGGCUUCCUGGAUUUAAAACCCAGGAAAGCAGGGGUUGAGAAGGGAGAGCCUUUGACCAUGGUCUCUAGCAGUUUUUCACUCUCCUAAAUGUCCACGUUCAGCCUCCAGCAAGUUGUCGAAAUCACCAGACAAGGUUUUGCUGUAUUGCCUACUACACUGGAGUGCAGUAGUGCCAUCAUAGCUUACUGCAACCUCGAACUUCCGGGCUCAAGAGACCCCCCUGCCUCAGCCUCCCAAGUAG